UCCGUAGGUGAACCUGCGGAAGGAUCAUUAAUGAAUACAGAUGCCUGUCGAGCUUGCUCACGGGCUUUCUAUCAUAUCCAUAACACCUGUGCACUUGUUGGAUGAUCUAGAGACAUAGGGCUAGUCCCAAAGUCAAUAGUCAUCCACUUACACUAAACAAUAAUGUAACAAAUGUAGUCUUAUUAUAACAUAAUAAAACUUUCAACAACGGAUCUCUUGGCUCUCGCAUCGAUGAAGAACGCAGCGAAAUGCGAUAAGUAAUGUGAAUUGCAGAAUUCAGUGAAUCAUCGAAUCUUUGAACGCGCCUUGCGCUCCUUGGUAUUCCGAGGAGCAUGCCUGUUUGAGUGUCAUGAAAACCCUCAACCUUAGAUUGGUUAUUUGACCUUUCUUUGGCUUGGAUUUGGACGUUUGCCGAUGUCAAGUCGGCUCGUCUUAAAAGUAAUAGCUGGAUCUGUCUCGCGACAUGGUUUGACUUGGCGUAAUAAGUAUUUCGCUAAGGACAUCUUCGGAUGGCCCUGUUGCAGGACUAAAGACCGCUUUCUAAUCCAUUGAUCUUCGGAUUAAUAUUCAUAACAUCUGGCCUCAAAUCAGGUAGGACUACCCGCUGAACUUAAGCAUAUCAAUAAGCGGAGGA
rnacentral:rRNA from 1 species